UUCUGUCAGACCUGGGCUCUGACCGUUCAUCUAAAAAAUAACUAAUAUAAUGAUAUUCCAAAAAAGUUCUGGAAAUAAGGAUGACAAAUAUAAAUCAAAUUUGGACACACUUCUAUUAGAACACACCAAAAACUACACGUAUCUAGAACUAAAUAUCAGCAACACAGGUAGCUUUCACAUGGCUGUGAAUGAGCUGAGAGACAAAGCAAGAAGAGCAUCCUAUGCCAUUGAAAGAAACAUUAAAAUCGAAAUUCCAAUUAGAAUCUGGCUCAAAAUGUUCCAAUCAGUUAUAGAACCAAUUGCUCUAUAUGGCAGUGAAGUAUUGGGUCUGCUGUCUAAUAAUGAAUUUACUAAACGGGACAAACAUCCAAUCGAAAUACUGCAUGCAGAGUUUUGCAAGACUGUAUUGCAAGUGCAAAGAAAACCUCCAAAUAACACAUGUAGAGCAGAAUUGGGAAAAAAAAAAACUCCUUGCUCAAAUAGAUAAAGAGCCAUCAAAUUUUACAACUAUUCCAUCACACAGCUCUACAAUGUCAAGAGAUGAAAAAAGAGAAGAGUCCCCUCAGCCAGCUGGUUCUGAGGCUCAGUUCACUAACCCAAACCAACCCCAUAGAGCCUCAGGACAGCACUCAGAAAAUCUGGCCCAACCAAAUCAUCACAAAGCAAAAAGAAAAAUCUAUAACCUAUUGGAAAGACACCACAAAAAAAUCUAAGUGAACUUCAAUGCUAUUUGGCUCUAAACAGACAGUAUAUGGUGGCAGACUAUCUGACCACUAUGACUGAUAGAAAACUGAGGAAAACAUUGACUAGGUACAGACUCAGUGAGCACAGUCUGGCUAUAGAGACCGGUCGUCACAGGCCAACCUGGCUGCCCAGAGAGGACAUGCUGUGCUCACUCUGCUCCAGGGGAGAGGUAGAGACAGAGCUGCAUUUUCUAUUACACUGUUACAAAUACUCAGACCUAUGAGAAUUAUUCUUUCCCAAAAUUAGCAUUCAGUACAAAGAAUUUGAAACUGUAAAAGAUGAAGAAAAAAUCUAAUAUUUAUUGGGUGAAAAGCCAAAAUGUGCAGUUUUGGCAGCCAAAUAUGUGUCCUCCUGCCACAACCUAAUAUAAUAAUAAUAAUAUAAUAAUAAUAAUAUAUAUAAUAAUAAUAAUAAUAUAUAUAAUAUACACAAGUACACAACCUGAGGGACAGCCAGUGAAAAGUGCAAUGUAAUGUCAAUAAUAUUUCCCAUUUAGUUUUGUUUUGGUUUUCAUACCAUGUCAUGUGGCUUCUCAGUCAUGUUGAGACUGAUCUACUACCAGGUCAUGUGGCUUCUCAGUCAUGUUGAGACUGAUCUACUACCAGGUCAUGUGUCUUCUCAGUCAUGUUGAGACUGAUCUACUACCAGGUCAUGUGUCUUCUCAGUCAUGUUGAGACUGAUCUACUACCAGGUCAUGUGUCUUCUCAGUCAUGUUGAGACUGAUCUACUACCAGGUCAUGUGUCUUCUCAGUCAUGUUGACACUGGUCUACUACCAGGUCAUGUGGCUUCUCAGUCAUGUUGAGACUGAUCUACUACCAGGUCAUGUGUCUUCUCAGUCAUGUUGACACUGGUCUACUACCAGGUCAUGUGUCUUCUCAGUCAUGUUGACACUGGUCUACUACCAGGUCAUGUGGCUUCUCAGUCAUGUUGAGACUGAUCUACUACCAGGUCAUGUGUCUUCUCAGUCAUGUUGAGACUGAUCUACUACCAGGUCAUGUGUCUUCUCAGUCAUGUUGAGACUGAUCUACUACCAGGUCAUGUGUCUUCUCAGUCAUGUUGACACUGGUCUACUACCAGGUCAUGUGUCUUCUCAGUCAUGUUGACACUGGUCUACUACCAGGUCAUGUGUCUUCUCAGUCAUGUUGAGACUGAUCUACUACCAGGUCAUGUGUCUUCUCAGUCAUGUUGAGACUGAUCUACUACCAGGUCAUGUGUCUUCUCAGUCAUGUUGACACUGAUCUACUACCAUUGCUUUUAUGUAUUGUUAUUCUCAUUAAUAUUGUUGUUGUAGUUGCUGUUAAUGGUAAUCCCAUUUCCACUACUACUACUAUUAUUGCUGUUGGUCCC